GUUCAUAUAAUAAAAAGGCAAACUUGAAAAUUUCCCGGACAAAAUUGGCCAUUUUCACGUAAUCGUCAAGCAAAACGAAUAUUUUCAAUUCAUCGGAGGCUCGGCGAAUUCCAUUGGUGUACGAGUUUGAUGAUCAAAGAUUAUUGAUCAUCGUUCUAUUUUCGUUGUGUUGCUCUAGAUGGGGAUUUCUUUCCCAUCGUGGGCGACGGCGAAUUUCAAAACCCUAAUCAAAUUUCUUUAUGCCCUCAACUGAUUCCUCUCGUAAUUUGAUCAUUUCGACGCGUUAUUACCUGCAGUACCAGCCAUGUUUACGUGGAACAUAGCGAAGACGGCGGAGGCGAUGUUCUCGAAAUUCGCCGUCAAGAGAUUGUGCAAGUUUUUACUGAAAAAGAAAUUGGGGCAGUUUUUAUUGGGGGAAAUUGAUAUCGAUCAGCUGGACGUGCAGCUUGCUGACGGCACAAUUCAGCUCAGCGACUUGGCGCUUAACGUUGAUUUUCUCAAUGAGAAGGUUGGCACAGCAGCUUUGGUUACUUUCAAAGAAGGAUCUAUUGGGUCUUUAUUAAUUAGAAUGCCAUGGACGAGUAGAGGCUGUGAGGUAGAAAUCAAUGGUUUGGAGCUUGUGCUUUCCCCAUGCUUGAGUAAUGAUCGUAUGGAUUGCUGUGGAACUUCUAGUGGUGGUCAUAAGAACCAUCAUGAAUCGAGAAAGUCAGAGCAUUUUGUUGCGAAAAGUGCUGUAAAAUCUACCUAUGGGGAUAUCCAUGAAGGUGUGAAGACUGUUGCAAAGAUGGUGAAAGGGCUGCUUGCGAGCUUUCACGUGAAGAUAAUAAACUUGAUAGUUGCAUUUGAUUCUUUUUAUGAUGAAAGCAAAAACAAAACAGGAUUGGAUACCACACUUGUUCUUCGGAUUUCAGAUGUAGAAUGCGGAACUUGUGUUACAGAGGAUGGUAAAUUGGAUAUGGAUGCAGCUGAAAGCUUUCUUGGAAUAAGUCAACUGAGUAACUUUGUAAAGUUUCAAGGGGCAAUGGUCGAGUUUCUUCACAUGGAUGAUUGUGACAAUCCAAAAUCCAUUUCAUGUAUGUCUGCAGGAACAUCUGCUGAAAUGGCAUUAGACCAUGUGCCAUCAAAUGUUACCAUUCCAGUUCUGACAGGUGGAGUGGGGGGAUUUUCAGGUAACCUGAAAUUACGUAUACCUUUGAGGGAUGGUUCCUUAGACAUUUAUAGAGUGGAUGGGGAUCUUUUCAUUGAUCCUGUACAGGUAAAACUUCAACCUAGAACAAUCAAAUGUUUUUUAGUUUUAUCUGAAGCUUAUUGGAAUUCCGACAAGAAUGGUGAUGGACAUGGAUGCAAACAUAAUAAGUUGAAUGAAUCUGGUUACUUGGAUCGGGCAUCUCACGACCAUUCAUUUACGCUAGCUUCUGCUGAAAGGACUCCUGAUGAAACCUCCUCCCCCCAUUGUGGUGGAAUUCUGCCUGGCUCUCACCUUAUAUCAAAUUGGGUGCCAUCCUCUGUUAAACAUAGAGAGAAAGAAAAAGUUGAAGAAGAAUUUGACUUCGGAGCAAGUGUGGACCAGUUUUUUGAAUGCUUAGAUGAAAUAAGAAGUUCCCAGUCUGCUUUAGGCAGCAGUGGGGUGUGGAACUCUGUUUUUAGUGCAAUCACUGCUGCGUCCAGCCUUGCUUCUGGAUCUUUACCCAUUCCUUGUGAUACAGAAUUGCAGCCUGUUGAAACAAACCUUAGGGCAACUAUCUCUGGAAUUUCUGUCGUUAUUUCCUUCCAUGAUGACAAUCAGUAUCAUUUCACUGACCCUGAGAAAGUACAGAUCAAAACUGACUCGGAGGUUCAUUUUGUGGCUGCUAAAUUCAGUGAUAUCCAUUUUCUUAUGCAGGUAUCUCAAAAAACGAGUUUUCAAGGAACUAUCAAGCAUAUUGAGGUUGCUGAUUAUUUGAACUGCAAAAAUUAUUCCUCAAAAUCUGACUUCCAUAAUAGUAACAGUGACUUCCAGACACUUCUGACGAAGCAUCUGCAAGUGGAUGUUAUAGGUGCUCUCCCUCCAUUUAAUUUUUCAGCUGAAGAUCCUAAUAAUGUGGAAUCAAAUAGUUCAUUCAAUAUGGAUUUUCCAUGUGAAAACAAGGACAAUGUUACAAAAAUUACAUUGUUGAAAACGUAUGGCAUCACUUCGUCCCAGUUGAAUGUGAUCUCUAGUUCUUCUGGUGAUAAUAGUACUAUGUCAAAAUCAUUUUCAUUGAAUCUACCACCCUUCAUUUUGUGGGUGAACUAUACUUUGGUAAACAUGCUACUGGAUUUACUAAGGGGUGUUGCAAACUGUAUACCUGGUGAUAACAACCACAAGUGCUUUAAGGAUAACUAUGUAUCGGAUCACAAGAAUGUCAAAAGCGGCUGUAAUCAAGUUACAGCUUUGGCUUCAUCUGCAAGCGUGCAGGGAAAUAUAAUAAUCGCCAAGGCCAGGGUAAUAUUCUGUUUCCCAUUUGAAAGUGACAAGGACUUUAUGGGAUACUCUUCCUGGGAUCAAUUUAUUGCUCUUGAUUUUUAUUCCCCUCCAAUCACAAAGGAGGAAACAAUUCACAGUGGUAACUUGGCGCUGCAGAAAAGUUAUUUUUCAGAAAAAAAUGCUUUGCAUUUCAGAUUUGGUAGUCUUGGGGUUUUCUUGGUCACUUCUGAUGAAGAGAUAAAACAGGGCAGCACAUGCAACGUGCAAAGGAAAAAAAUUUCAGCUCAUAACAUUUUGUCUGCCUCCAACAGAACAAAUGCUUCUUCUUUAACAUUUUUUUGGCAGGAAGGUCAUGUCACAGGUCCAUGGAUUGCAAAGAAGGCCAAGUCAUUAGCUAGUCUAGAGGAAUCAGAAAGCAGGUGUAAGUUCAUUGGAAAAGAUUACGAGUUUGCUUCCGUUGCUAAUAUGAAAGAUAUGGAGGAGUCUAACUUGCAGACUCGACAAGAAAUGAUUUUGAGCUCCACAUCAGUGUUGUAUGUGUUUCUCCCUCUUGUCAGAAUCAAUGCUGGUGCUGUUCAAUAUAAAGUCUUUAAUUAUCUUUUAGAUCAGUUGAUAAAAGGAUUGUCAAGUGAUACUUGUGAUGCAGUUGAUGUUACAAAAGGAUCCGUAACAUCUCAAAAAUCGAUUGUAGUUGAUUGCAAUUGUGUAGAAAUUUCCAUUAGGCCAGAUUCAAAUGAGAGUGUUAAGUGCUCUUUGCAGAGAGAACUUCCUGGAUCAUGGUAUCAUCUAAGACUGGAAAUUCAAAACUUCGAACUAAUCUCUGUCUCCGACCUUGGAAGUAUCGAGGGUGCCAAUUUCUUUUGGCUAUCCCAUGGAGAAGGACAAUUGCUGGGUUUCAUAUCUGAAGAUCCUGAUCAGGAGUUUCGUUUGAUCUCAUGUAGCAACUCUAACAUGAAGCGUGGGGAUGGGGAAGGUUCAAAUGCUUUAUCUUCAAGGUUAGCUGGUUGUGAUAUUGUGCAUAUGUGGGAUCCCGAGUGCUUACAGGAUUUUUCUUCUAUAACAAUAAGAUGUGCAACAAUUCUGGCUAUAGGUGGUCGAUUGGAUUGGUUAGAUGUCAUCUGCUCCUUUUUCCUUUUGCCCUCUUCUCCAGUUGAACCAGAAGGUGACAAGGUUAUGCCCAGAGAGAAUACAAAAAAGUCUUCAGGGUCUAAUUUUUUUCUUAACUUUGUUGAUGUUGGGUUGAGCUAUCAACCGUACUUGAAGAAUUUGCUAGGCAAUAGCAGACUCUCUCGAACAGAAUCCAGUUCUUCUACCAUCAAACAAGAGUUGGAUGAUGAUUAUGUUGCUUGCCUGCUGGCUGCAUCCUCAGUAACACUAUCAAGUUCUAGUGUGGCAGAUACAGUUGAAGAUAAUUUCAGAAUCACAAUACAAGAUAUUGGACUUCUUCUAUGUAGUGUCUCUGAUUAUGAGCAUGUUUUUAAUGCUUACAGUGUUGAAGAUCUGCGCAAGGGAGGCUGGGUUAAGGUUGCCAGGGAGACAUUUAUUGAAGCAAUAUUGAGAACUAACUGUGAUAAUGGCCUCAAGUGGGAGUUAGAAUGUCACAAAGCCCACGUUUUCGUGGAAACAUGCAAUGACACUACUACUGGUCUGGUACGUUUGGCUGCUCAACUUCAGCAACUAUUUGCCCCUGAUCUUGAGGAAUCGAUUGUUCAUUUGCAGACAAGAUGGAAUAAUGUCCAACAAGCACAAGAGAGAAAGGAGAUUGACAAUGAAUCAUCUUCUCCUCCAUGUCACAAUCCAUCAGUUAAACAAAGUGAAACUGGGUUAAUGGAUGAAAUAUGUGAAGAUGCGUUUCUAUUAAAUAAAAACCAAACCAGAGAAUGUGAUUGUUUUUCAUCCACUGAAGGUCUUCAUACUGAGGUAUGCAGGUUGAAUUCUGAGGUUCAUGAAACUUCUUCUCCCAUUCAUUCCUUCAUUGGCUCAGAGCCUGAUGGUCAAACAUCUUUCAUACAAUACCUCAAGUUUCCUGAAAUAAUAGAAGGAUAUUGCCUGUCUGAGUUUCGUCCUGUAUCAGAUCUAACAAUGGGCCAAGAAUUACCUCCCGAUAUUUGUAAUUCCAGGAAUUCUAGUAGUAUAGAUCUUGAAGGACGAAGAAGUGGAUGGUACGGGAACUUGCCUAUAAAAAUUCUUGAAAACCACAUUUUAGAUGCAAGUAGAGUUGAACACUCGGUAACUGAUGAUCUUUGUUCUAUCGAGAGCAAAAGACUUGAUGAGGUUGAAGAGGCAUGUGGACGUGUACUUCUUAAUAAUAUCGAUUUGAAAUGGAGAAUGUAUGCUGGUUCUGAUUGGCAAGUUUCUAGAGAGAAUGGUGAUCGACCAAUGAGUAUGGUUAAAAGAGAUCAACACACAUGUCUAGAGCUUGCAUUAUCUGCCAUGCAUGUUCAAUAUGAUGUUUUUCCUAUGGGUGGAAUGUGUGUAUCUAGACUUUCACUUUCAGUUCAAGAUUUUCAUCUUUAUGACAGCAGUGCAGAUGCACCUUGGAAGCUGGUACUGGGAUAUUACAAUUCAAAGAAUCAUCCUCGUAAGUCUUCGUCAAAAGCAUUCAAGCUCGACUUAGAAGCUAUUAGACCAGAUCCUUUGAUCCCUCUUGAGGAAUACCGGUUGCGUGUUGGUUUUCUGCCUAUGCUAUUGCAUCUUCAUCAAUGCCAACUUGAUUUUCUUGUUAAUUUUUUUGGGGAAAAAAGUUCAUCAGGAAACCAGUCUGGUCAUUCACUUGAUUCAGAUGGUUCAAAAACUAUUUCUACGACCAAAAGUGAUGCUGGGCUUAAUUUGGCAGAGGAGGCAUUGCUUCCUUAUUUUCAGAAGUUUGACAUACAACCAAUUGUAGUCCGUGUUGAUUACAGUCCAAGUCGUGUUGAUUUGGCUGCGUUAAGAGGUGGGAAGUACGUUGAACUUGUAAAUCUGGUUCCUUGGAAGGGGGUUGAGCUACACCUUAAGCAUGUGCAGGCUGUUGGAGUCUAUGGUUGGGGCAGUGUAUGUGAAACAGUUGUAGGUGAAUGGCUGGAAGAUAUUUCUCAUAAUCAGAUUCGUAAAAUACUGGAGGGCCUUCCUACAGUCAGGUCAUUAGUUGCUGUUGGCUCUGGUGCCUCAAAACUCUUGUCUUCUCCAGUUGAGAGCUACAAAAAGGAUCGAAGAAUAUUAAAGGGGAUGCAAAGAGGUACUAUUGCAUUUCUCAGAAGUAUUUCCCUUGAAGCUAUUGGACUAGGGGUACACUUGGCUGCUGGGGCUCAUGACAUUUUGCUCCAGGCGGAAUAUAUACUCACUACUGUUCCUCCUUCAGUGAAAGUACGGCAUAAGACAAAGGCUAAUGUAAGAUCCAAUCAACCCAAGGAUGCUCAAGAAGGAUUGAAAAAGGCUUAUGAAAGCAUUAGUGAUGGCCUUGGGAAGUCUGCCUCUGCCUUGGUUCGGACUCCCUUGAAAAAGUAUCAACGUGGAGGCAGUACAGUGUCUGCUCUCGCAACUGCUGUUCAAGCAAUUCCAGCUGCCGCAAUAGCUCCAGCUUCUGCAUGUGCAAGCGCAAUACAUUACACUUUUCUUGGCUUGAGAAAUAGCCUGGAUCCCGAGCGCAAAAGAGAAUCCAUGGAGAAAUAUUUAGGUCCUACAGACUCGUGGGAACAGAAUUGAUGAGGCCAUGGAUGACUUCUGGAUAAAGUUUAAGCUUAAUUUCCCAAGGAGUCGUGAUUGCCGUCAGUCAUUGCAUUGUGCCUCGCCUUUAAAAAGAUCGUGACACACUCUUUUCAUAUUUGAAAAGAUGGACCUGGUGUAAAUAUGUACAGAAGAAAGAGUCUCGUAGGCAUUCUUUCCCCGUUCGAUGUAGAAGACGGAGAUUUGUACAUGAAUGUUAAAAUAUUCAACCAUGGUUAGAAAUUUUUUCGUACUGAUGGUGAUUAAGUUUGGUAAUUAGUUAUACCCUACUUUAUUCUUUGAGGAUUGAGCAAAUGUAUCUAGCUUUCUAAUUUGUGCAUAGCCCUGUAAAUACUUGAUGAUUUGUUUUCCAAGAUGUGCAUAGUUUUGUAAAUAUUUGAUCAUUUGCUUUCCAA